GCGCCGGUGGUGUAAGGCGAACAUCGCUGCCCGCAAAGCAUAAGAUUUGGGUUCGAGUCCCGCCUGACGCA
rnacentral:tRNA from 1 species